UACGUAGGGCGCAAGCGUUGUCCGGAAUCAUUGGGCGUAAAGCGCGCGUAGGCGGCCCGAUAAGUCCGCUGUAAAAGUCAACGGCUCAACUGUUGAACGCCGGUGGAUACUGUCGGGCUAGAGUCCGGAAGAGGCAAGUGGAAUUCCUGGUGUAGCGGUGGAAUGCGCAGAUAUCAGGAGGAACACCAAUAGCGAAGGCAGCUUGCUGGGACGGUACUGACGCUAAGGCGCGAAAAGCGUGGGGAGCGAACAGG
rnacentral:rRNA from 1 species